CAGGGAUGCUGAGCUGCUGCAGGAAGCUCUUGAACAUCAAGUUAUGCCAGCAGAAAAAGACAUCAGAUUGGAAGAAUGCAGAUGAGCUGGUCUCAGAAAUACUCAAGUCUCAAAAUCUUUGGAACAUAUGCUUCCAUAUCAGCAAUUUUCAAGUUUGCCAUACUUCUACCCAAAGAUUCCACUGGCUUCCUGCCACCAUCCUUCAGUCUAAAACUGUAUCAUGCUGUUCCUGGCAUUCUUUGAUCAGGGCCUAUGAGAGAAAUUUAUUUCCUGCUUCCUGGGCAUUCAGAUUCCCAGCAGCUGCAACAACCUGAACUUCCUUUGGACAAUUACUCCUUAUGAUGACUUGAGUGAUCUUGGCCUCACUUUCAAGCCCAGGGUGAACCUUCAUUGCCUUGGCCCAUUCUAAAUGAAUCAUUUCCUGGCCAUAGUGAUUGGUUCUGGCAUGGACACAUAUCUAACCAGAGUCAAUGAGAUUUCCACUGAGACUUCUGAGAAAUAGAUUCUCUCCCAUCCCUUCUGGACUUAAAGCAAGACAUAUGUAGCCACAGAAGCAGCUAGAGCCCUCUUGAGACCUGGAGGGAGAAACUGCUAGAAAAUGGAGUAUACAUCAAGGAAGAAGAGGAAGGAAUGAAGAAAGAAACUGAAUCUUGGCCACAUCAUUGGAGCCCUGGAUCAACCCUCACCUGAAGAUUGCCCUCACCUUCUUUUCAACUCACCAAUGAAGUGUUUUCAUUGUUUAAGGCAGUUCAAGUUGGGUUUUCUGCAAUUUAAAAUAAUAAUAAUACUAAUAAAAUCUAUAGCUCAUGUGGGUUCCAAG
rnacentral:lncRNA from 10 species